CACCGGCGGCCCGAGUGGUAGCCGUUAUUAUUGGGUUUAAAGGGUCCGUAGCCGGCCUAUUAAGUCUCUUGGGAAAUCUGGCGACUCAAUCGUCAGGCGUUCAAGAGAUACUGGUAGGCUUGGGACCGGGAGAGGUGGGAGGUACUCCAGGGGUAGGGGUGAAAUCUCGUAAUCCUUGGGGGACCACCGAUGGCGAAGGCAUCCCACCAGAACGGGUCCGACGGUGAGGGACGAAAGCUGGGGGCACGAACCGGAUUAGAUACCCGGGUAGUCCCAGCUGUAAACGAUGCUCGCUAGGUGUCAGGUGCGGUGCGACCGCAUCUGGUGCCGUAGUGAAAACUUGAAGCGAGUCACCUGGGAAGUACGGUCGCAAGGCUG
rnacentral:rRNA from 1 species